GACGAAGGGGGCUAGCGUUGUUCGGAAUUACUGGGCGUAAAGCGUGCGCAGGCGGUGUUGUAAGUCUGACGUGAAAUCCCCGGGCUCAACCUGGGAAUUGCGUUGGAGACUGCAAGGCUGGAGUCUGGCAGAGGGGGGUAGAAUUCCACGUGUAGCAGUGAAAUGCGUAGAGUUGUGGAGGAACACCGAUGGCGAAGGCAGCCCCCUGGGUCAAGACUGACGCUCAUGCACGAAAGCGUGGGGAGCAAACAGG
rnacentral:rRNA from 1 species